rnacentral:rRNA from 1 species
GCAGUCGAGCGAACCGACGGGAGCUUGCUCCCUUAGGUUAGCGGCGGACGGGUGAGUAACACGUGGGUAACCUGCCUGUAAGACUGGGAUAACUCCGGGAAACCGGGGCUAAUACCGGAUGCUUGAUUGAACCGCAUGGUUCAAUCAUAAAAGGCGGCUUCGGCUGCCGUUUACAGAUGGACCCGCGGCGCAUUAGCUAGUUGGUGAGGUAACGGCUCACCAAGGCGACGAUGCGUAGCCGACCUGAGAGGGUGAUCGGCCACACUGGGACUGAGACACGGCCCAGACUCCUACGGGAGGCAGCAGUAGGGAAUCUUCCGCAAUGGACGAAAGUCUGACGGAGCAACGCCGCGUGAGUGAUGAAGGUUUUCGGAUCGUAAAGCUCUGUUGUUAGGGAAGAACAAGUACCGUUCGAAUAGGGCGGUACCUUGACGGUACCUAACCAGAAAGCCACGGCUAACUACGUGCCAGCAGCCGCGGUAAUACGUAGGUGGCAAGCGUUGUCCGGAAUUAUUGGGCGUAAAGCGCGCGCAGGCGGUUUCUUAAGUCUGAUGUGAAAGCCCCCGGCUCAACCGGGGAGGGUCAUUGGAAACUGGGGAACUUGAGUGCAGAAGAGGAGAGUGGAAUUCCACGUGUAGCGGUGAAAUGCGUAGAGAUGUGGAGGAACACCAGUGGCGAAGGCGACUCUCUGGUCUGUAACUGACGCUGAGGCGCGAAAGCGUGGGGAGCGAACAGGAUUAGAUACCCUGGUAGUCCACGCCGUAAACGAUGAGUGCUAAGUGUUAGAGGGUUUCCGCCCUUUAGUGCUGCAGCAAACGCAUUAAGCACUCCGCCUGGGGAGUACGGUCGCAAGACUGAAACUCAAAGGAAUUGACGGGGGCCCGCACAAGCGGUGGAGCAUGUGGUUUAAUUCGAAGCAACGCGAAGAACCUUACCAGGUCUUGACAUCCUCUGACACCCCUAGAGAUAGGGCUUCCCCUUCGGGGGCAGAGUGACAGGUGGUGCAUGGUUGUCGUCAGCUCGUGUCGUGAGAUGUUGGGUUAAGUCCCGCAACGAGCGCAACCCUUGAUCUUAGUUGCCAGCAUUCAGUUGGGCACUCUAAGGUGACUGCCGGUGACAAACCGGAGG